AGCUAUUGUUUAAGAAAGCAACUAGAAGGGGCACUUCGGCGGCUCAGUGGGUUAAGCCUCUGCCUCCGGCUCAGGUCAUGAUCUCAGGGUCCUGGGAU